GAGUUUGAUCGUGGCUCAGAUUGAACGCUGGCGGCAGGCCUAACACAUGCAAGUCGAGCGGAUGAAGGGAGCUUGCUCCUGGAUUCAGCGGCGGACGGGUGAGUAAUGCCUAGGAAUCUGCCUGGGUAGUGGGGGAUAACGUCCGGAAACGGGCGCUAAUACCGCAUACGUCCUGAGGGAGAAAGUGGGGGAUCUUCGGACCUCACGGCUAUCAGAUGAGCCUAGGUCGGAUUAGCUAGUUGGUGGGGUAAAGGCCUACCAAGGCGACGAGUCCGUAACUGGUCUGAGAGGAUGAUCAGUCACACUGGAACUGAGACACGGUCCAGACUCCUACGGGAGGCAGCAGUGGGGAAUAUUGGACAAUGGGCGAAAGGCCUGAUCCAGCCAUGCCGCGUGUGUGAAGAAGGUCUUCGGAUUGUAAAGCACUUUAAGUUGGGUAGGAAGGGCAGUAAGUUAAUACCUUAGCUGUUUUGACGUUUACCAACAGAAUAAGCACCGGCUAACUCGUGCCAGCCGCCGCAGU
rnacentral:rRNA from 1 species